rnacentral:rRNA from 1 species
ACUUUGACCUCAAAUCAGGUAAGA